GGCCCAUUAGCUCAAUUCCAGAAGUUCCUAUCCAGACGCAGACACUGCAAAAGAAAGGCAUGAGGUCAAAUCAUAUAAGAACUCCCAGUGGGACUUCAGUUAAAAGUAAGACCUUAGUGAUGGCCCAACUCCAAAGCAGGAGACGGGGGAAAGGGGAGUACUGGAGUUGCUUUGGGGUGGAGGUGUGGGCUUGAACCUGCUGUGCAGUCUUGGCUCUGAGUCCUCUUGGGAGAAGAGAUGGCACAGAAGUCUCUCAUGAGGUAGAGCGAAUCAGGAGCGGUGUUCAGCGACCAAGUGUCCUCACCUGCCCCCGACGCCCCCACUAGGUCGGGCCAGAUCUCACAUACACCCUUGAGGAGGGGCUGCAGGAAGAGGCUGAGGCUUCCAAGCGAUUUUCUGCCCCCUUUCUUUUCUCUUUUGGACUAAUGUCCUCCUUUCCUUAUGUAUCUAUCUACUGGCUCACGCGUUUCUUCCCGCCUAUCCGCCGCCGGUCGGUCAGUCUCUUCCUCGACUGUCGGUCAACCGUCUCCGGGUCUCCCCGUCUCCAACGUUUUCCCAUCCCGUGUGCCCUGGGCCCGUCUUUCUCCGUAUCUGCCCAGCUCUAUUCCCUGGCUUCGAGGUUCUGCCUGACUCAGCGGACUCUGCCAGUCUGCGAGGUCUUUUCCUCCCUGCUCGGCGAGCGCGGCUUCACCGGCAGAAGGUGGGGAGAAGACGGAGAAAGGAGGCGGCCGUGGGCGGGGAACUGCGGAACGGGAUUGGAGCCGGGGAAGGAGGGAGCCGCGAGGGCGGGCGGGCGGAGGCGACGGCCGCGGGCGCAGCGCGCGGCGGGGGCGGGAGGCAGCCUGCCGAAAGCCCGCUCCCGCCGCCCCGCGCCUCCUGCGCGUCCCGCGGUUCGGCUGGCCGGGAUGGGAUGGCCCGGGGGCGCCCCCUGCUGCUGCCCUGCCCCACCGCGCCCCCGCCCCGCAGGGCGCCCCCCGAAGGCUCAUGGGGAUCCUUUCCCCACCUCCCCUGAGGUGCUCCACAGGGUGGGAAGAGACUCCAAGCCACAGGGAUGGUGGCCACCCAGCACCUGACUUAGCCCCAUCCUCACUGCAGUCACUGCUUGGGCCUUGCUGGGCCUGGAUGGCCAGGGUCUGAGACCAGUGAAGGUCAGAGGAUGUUUGGGGACUUCUUCCAGGGGAGAAAACCUUCAGCUCCUUUGGAGACAGCAGGGAUAGGAAGCAGCAUGCUGCAAAGGUCCUGGUCAAGGUUAUGUGCCGGGAGAACAGGAGGAAUGGGGGGGUGGGAGCCACCCUCACCCACUGCAGUGCUCUGUUCUCCCCAGCAGGGCUGGGUGCUGGACCAGGCCAGACCCAGUCGCCCACCUGACCUGGGGCCUGGAGUGUCCUGGGGCACAGCCAGGACAAGGUGGUUGGGUGUGUGGAGGUCAGUCGCAGAACCAGCAUCCCUCUCUAGUGAC
rnacentral:lncRNA from 1 species